rnacentral:rRNA from 1 species
GACGAACGCUGGCGGCGUGCUUAACACAUGCAAGUCGAACGGAAAGGCCCUGCUCUUGUGGGGUGCUCGAGUGGCGAACGGGUGAGUAACACGUGAGUAACCUGCCCUUGACUUUGGGAUAACUUCAGGAAACUGGGGCUAAUACCGGAUAGGAGCUCCUGCUGCAUGGUGGGGGUUGGAAAGUUUCGGCGGUUGGGGAUGGACUCGCGGCUUAUCAGCUUGUUGGUGGGGUAGUGGCUUACCAAGGCUUUGACGGGUAGCCGGCCUGAGAGGGUGACCGGCCACCUUGGGACUGAGAUACGGCCCAGACUCCUACCGGAGGCAGCAGUCGGGAAUAUUGCACAAUGGGCGGAAGCCUGAUGCAGCAACGCCGCGUGCGGGAUGACGGCCUUCGGGUUGUAAACCGCUUUCGCCUGUGACGAAGCGUGAGUGACGGUAAUGAGUAAAGAAGCACCGGCUAACUACGUG